rnacentral:pre_miRNA from 1 species
AGCCUUCUGUAUCAGUGCUGAGGUUUCGUCACACGCCAGACCACAAAAGCUGAUGAAACUCAUAAGAUCAGUGAAGCG